AAUACUACCACAUAUUAUCAGAUAUGGCAAUUACAGACAAACUUUCAUGUUCUGCAUCUCCUUUACCAAAUCUUAGAACCCAAGUCAGUUCUCCUUCAAUAAUCCCAAUAUCCCUAAUCCUACAUCUCCAUUCUCCAUCCCAAACCAUAUUAAAAAAAAACACAUUUGAAUUCCCUCCAAAUAAGCACCACCCACUAUGAACACAGAAAGGAUAAAUUUGAAGACACUGUACCAACCAUGUCAGAGAUAUUGAACCCAUCAAAAGCCCAAAACCCUGACCUCCAGCUCCAAACUCUAGGCCCCUUUUUCAGAAUCACGGCCAAGAGCUUGGGAAGGCUGAGGGGCUAAUAAGGGUCUGAUUGCAAGGGACAAUUCUUCACUUUGGUAUUGGUUUGUUCCUUGGAGCUGUUGCUAUUCGAUAUGGAUAUGAUUGUGGUUGCAAAACAGCCGAGUUACUUGCAAUCAAUGAUUCUGAUCUUUACCAUUCCAAGCUUGUUAGGUUCUACACAAGAAUUGGAUUUAAGGCUGUGCAUGAAGUAACAGGUUCAGGAUUUGGAGAUUAUGCCCACAUGUUGGUCUGGGGAGGAGUUGGGACUCGAAUGGAUGCUAAUGUUGAAGAACUUCUUGUAAAAUGGUGUACCAGGUUCAAACCUCGGAAGUGAUUCACUGGUUGAGUAAUUUCUCUCAAUCCAUUUCAAAUUGAGCAACGUCUCUUCUAAUUCUAUGAAGCACAGACUAGAAAUUCUACUGUCAUUAAAAACUGCUAUCUGAGGUGGAAAAUUAGUGUGUU